UACGUAGGUGGCAAGCGUUGUCCGGAAUCACUGGGCGUAAAGCGCGCGCAGGCGGCGAUCUACGUCUGGGGGUGAAAGCCCGGAGCUCAACUCCGGGACUGCCUUGGAUACGGGAUCGCUUGAGGAUUGGAGAGGCAAGGGGAAUUCCACGUGUAGCGGUGAAAUGCGUAGAUAUGUGGAGGAACACCUGUGGCGAAGGCGCCUUGCUGGCCAAUUUCUGACGCUGAGGCGCGAAAGCGUGGGGAGCAAACAGG
rnacentral:rRNA from 1 species